GAGAGAUCAACAGAACCAGGGGAGUAUGAUCGUGUGGGGGACUUUUGUGAACUUUGAUUGAUCUACUGCUUGUUUACAAGGCGCACAAGUUUUCACGUUGUUCCAUAUCUGAAGAGCAGUAAAGCCAUUGUGGACAUCAAUAAGAAGCGUCGUUUCGUUAUUGGAGUAGAUACAUACUUCAAUGUCACGCCUAAUGGGGAAUGAACCGGAAGUGUUGUGAGUCGUGUACACGCAGCUGAGAGACAAAGAGAACGGCGGGCUUCCAAUCCAGAUGCAGUAAGAGACUUAGUGUGCUCCUUCAGAAGCAACGCCUGUAUGUAUCAUAUCAUAUACGGUUUAUUAAGUAAUUUCAUAUGAAAAUGUGUAGUUACAAACAAGUUUGUGAAGUUACUAGGUACAUGGAUUUAUUAAAGCCUGGGUAAAAAUGGCUGGGUUGCAUCAGUCCGGCGUAAAAGCUGUUCCAAACAAAUCAUGCGAGUGACUCGCUGUUGUGGCGACCCCUGACGGGGAAAAUCUGAAAGUCACAUCUUUAGUGAGAUGUAGGCUACUAUGCUAACAGUUGGAGAGGGCUUGCUAAUUGUUUGUGCAGACCAAUGCUAAC